ensembl:lncRNA
UAGUCAUUGAUAACUAGUAAGUAACUGGUACCUAAUAACUGAUAACUAGUAAGUAACUGGUACCUAAUAACUAGUCAUUGAUAACUAGUAAGUAACUGGUACCUAAUAACUUAUAACUAGUAAGUAACUGGUGCCUAAUAAUUGAUAACUUGUCAUUGAUAACUAGUAAGUAACUGAUACCUAAUAACUGAUAACUAGUAAGUAACUGGUACCUAAUAAUUGAUAACUAGUCAUUGAUAACUAGUAAGUAACUGGUACCUAAUAACUGAUAACUAGUAAGUAACUGGUACCUAAUAACGAGUCAUUGAUAACUAGUAAGUAACUGGUACCUAAUAACUGAUAACUAGUAAGUAACUGGUACCUAAUAACUGAUAACUAGUCAUUGAUUACUAGUAAGUAACUGGUACCUAAUAACUGAUAACUAGUAAUUGAGACCUAUGAGGGUUAUCAUGGGCAGUUUACAGGUACAUUAUAUGAUUUGUUGAGAUGACUUGACAAUCAAGAAUAAUCAUACAAAUCUAUAAUCUAUAAAUCUAUAAUCUUCUGGUAGGUCUGCCUCAAUUUGUAACUCACUGUUUCCUAAUCCUGGGACCCAAAAGGGUGAGCAUUUCUGUUGUUGAACUAACACACUUGACUGAUGGAGGUGUAUUAGAGCUAGGACAAUAACAAAAAUGUGCACCUUGGGUCCCAGGGACCAGGAUUGGAAAACACAGUUGAAACUGAUGCUGCCUCGGUUGAAUAGAAGUCGCAAUGUUUUCCUUGAGAAAACAUUUUUGUUUUAUUGCCAGUGUGAGUUCUGGGACAUUUUUGUUUUAUUGUCAGUGUGAGUUCUGGGACAUUUUUGUUUUAUUGCCAGUGUGAGUUCUGGGACAUUUUUGUUUUAUUGUCAGUGUGAGUUCUGGGACAUUUUUGUUUUAUUGCCAGUGUGAGUUCUGGGACAUUUCUGUUUUAUUGUCAGUGUGAGUUCUGGGACAUUUUUGUUUUAUUGUCAGUGUGAGUUCUGGGACAUUUUUGUUUUAUUGUCAGUGUGAGUUCUGGGACAUUUUUGUUUUAUUGCCAGUGUGAGUUCUGGGACAUUUUUGUUUUAUUGUCAGUGUGAGUUCUGGGACAUUUUUGUUUUAUUGUCAGUGUGAGUUCUGGGACAUUUUUGUUUUAUUGUCAGUGUGAGUUCUGGGACAUUUUUGUUUUAUUGCCAGUGUGAGUUCUGGGACAUUUUUGUUUCUGAACCUCAAGCCUAUAUGCUGUAUUUAUAAAGGUAUUGUGUUAUUUUGGGGAUUUUCACAGUUUCUGUUUUUUGUUUACUAAUACACACGGCAGAAAGUAUAACGUAAUAUGCAAAAAGAGGACGAUGUAGAUUUGAUAAGUUACUUAAUUUGAGAAAUGUUUGCUUUUUUUGUGAUUUAUUUUUACAAGCUCAACUUUUAUAAAGGUUAAGUUAAAUGAAUGUAAUUGGCUUUGCAAGUAUUCGAUCAGAUUAAACGUGAGCCAACACAACAAACGGUAAUGAAUGUAACUAAAGGUGUGGUUUCCAAAUGUCACCCUGUUCUCUAUGUUCUGCAUGAAACUAUAAACUGAGUGGACAAAACAUUAAGAACACCGGCUUUUUCCAGGACAGACAGACCAGGUGAAAGCUAUGAUCCCUUAUUGAUGUCACUUGUUAAAUCCACUUCAAAUCAGUGUCGAUGACGGGUUAAAGAGGGAUUUUUUUAAGCCUUGAGUCAAUUGGGACAUGGAUUGUGUGUAUGUGUGCCAAUCCAAUCAAAUCAAAUCAAAUUUUAUUUGUCACAUACACAUGGUUAGCAGAUGUUAAUGCGAGUGUAGCGAAAUGCUUGUGCUUCUAGUUCCGACAAUGCAGUAAUAACCAACAAGUAAUCUAACUAACAAUUCCAAAACUACUGUCUUAUACACAGUGUAAGGGGAUAAAGAAUAUGUACAUAAGGAUAUAUGAAUGAGUGAUGGUACAGAGCAGCAUAGGCAAGAUACAGUAGAUGAUAUCGAGUACAGUAUAUACAUAUGAGAUGAGUAUGUAAACAAAGUGGCAUAGUUAAAGGGGCUAGUGAUACAUGUAUUACAUAAGGAUGCAGUCGAUGAUAUAGAGUACAGUAUAUACGUAUGCAUAUGAGAUGAAUAAUGUAGGGUAAGUAACAUUAUAUAAGGUAGCAUUGUUUAAAGUGGCUAGUGGGCAAGACACAUAUUAAAGAGGCUGAAUGGGCAAGACACAUAUUAAAGAGGCUGAAUGGGCAAGACACAUAUUAAAGUGCCUUUGAACGGGGUCUGGUAGUAAGUGCCAGGCGCAACGGUUUAGGUGUGUCGAGAACUGCAAUGCAAGUCAAUAUUAGGAAGGUGUUCUUAAUGUUUUGUACACUGUAUAUACACUACACUAUAUAGCCCAGGAAUGGGGUGCCAUUUUAGGGGCGCAACAAACUCAAAUGUCAGUUUUUACUCAUAUUUAAAAAGUGCAGUUUGUAUUGGGAUAAAAUCCUUCACAAGAAAAGGGACAAGAGACCGGCACCUUGAUGAGUUGAAUAGUUUAUAAAAUGAUAUAUAUGUUCACAGUAGAUGGUGGUAACCUCAAUGUAAUUGGCUACUGGAAGGUUUUACUGUAUCUGUAAGUAAGGAUCGUUGUGUUUGACAAUAAAAUAAAUAAUCUAGAUGGAAAAUGAAAGGUUGAUGUGAGAAGCCAUUACAGUGUGACUUGUUCAUAGUCACAAAUGCAUGUUACUGAUGUAUGUAAACCAGUUAUGUCUGAUUAUUGGUGUUUACAUUUCAUUGACCCUUUAUUUAACAAGGCAAGUCAGUUAAGAACAAAUUCUUAUUUUUACAAUGAUGGCCUACCUCGGCCAAAACGUAACCCGAAUGACGCUGGGCCAAUUGUGCUCCGCCCUAUGGGACUCCCGAUCACGGCCGGUUGUGAAACAGCCCGGGAUCGAACCAGGGUCUGUAGUGACGACUCUAGCACUGAGAUGCAGUGCCUUAGACCACUGCGCCACUCGGGAGCCCCCACCUGUCGUGUUUACCAAUGUUUCACAGAAAAAUGCAUUGAAAAUACAGGGAGCAUUACUUGAUUCACAGCAAACAACAUUUACU